rnacentral:rRNA from 1 species
UCGAACGAGAAAGUGGAGCAAUCCAUGAGUACAGUGGCGACCGGGUGAGUAACACGUGACCAACCUGCCCUCGAGUGGGGAACAACCUAGGGAAACCUGGGCUGAUACCGCAUAACAUCUUCGAGUCGGAAGACUUGGGGAUCAAAGGAGCAAUUCGCUUGAGGAGGGGGUCGCGGCUGAUUAGCUAGUUGGCGGGGUAAUGGCCCACCAAGGCAAAGAUCGGUAUCCGGCCUGAGAGGGCGCACGGACACACUGGAACUGAAGCACGGUCCAGACUCCUACGGGAGGCAGCAGUGGGGAAUUUUGCGCAAUGGGGGAAACCCUGACGCAGCAACGCCGCGUGGAGGAUGAAGUCCCUUGGGACGUANACUCCUUUCGACCGGGACGAUAAUGACGGUACCGGUGGAAGAAGCACCGGCUAACUCUGUG